GUUCUGUAGCUACUUCAUUUAUCACUGUUGUUGUUUGAUAUGAAUAUGUAACUGCUUGUUUUCAUUAUUACCAUGAAUCAAGAAAAUUACCUUUUUUUUAGGGAGAUCCAGGAAAAAGAGGGCCACCAGGGCUGCCAGGGCUACCAGGUCCUCGGGGAACAAUUGGCCUGCAAGAUGGUGACCCAUUGUGUCCCAAUGCUUGUCCACUUGGCCGCCCAGGACAUGCUGGCUUAAUGGGAAUGAAGGGACAGAAAGGUUCAAAAGGAGAGUCUGGUGAACCAGGAAAACAAGGUUAUAAGGUAAAAAAAAAAGCUUAAGAGGAAAAAUUGCUGUUGUUUUUAGCAAGCUAAUAGUAGUUUAGCCUUUUAUUCAAAAACAGUUAGAACUAUUAAUUGUUUUACCAGAAUACAUG
rnacentral:lncRNA from 1 species